UCGCUGCUCACCACCCAUGAGA
rnacentral:miRNA from 1 species